AAACACAUGCGCUUCGGCAGGCGUCCUCCAGUGGGAGGUUGCUCAGGGGAUGGCGGAGCUGUGAAACUCGCAGCUAAAAGGAAAGUCUCAACGCUUAUUGUCUAAAUUUUGCUUUGUCGUGACCAGCUACCUAAACCCACGCAGAGGGAGAGCGCUUGUGACGCUACGAACCUCUUGAACACCUGAGGACUGGGCGCCAGGGCCUGAUGGAGGGUGGAGAGCCAGUGCGGCGCAGCUGCCUCCUCUCACGGGGACACCUAGCAGGAAUAUGCAGAGUGGAGCUAAAGGGAGCAGAUAGAAACCGAGAGAGGGGAAGAGCGCGCGAAGGCUUGGCCGGAAGGAGAGGUUAAAAAGGAAAGGCCUAAAAUGAGGAAGAGAGUUAACCGCAACAGGCAGUACCUAGUUCCAGUUCUUGGUCCCAGGAGUUUGUGGUUGCUGCUGCUUUCAUCUUCAGCCAAAACAAAAGGAAAGUGCCAAGGGGCGAUUCCUAGGACUUUCAGUGCAGUCUCCACCUCGCGGACUUGGCUCAUUUGUGUCCACUCCUUUCUCCCACGUUUUACACUUGAUGCUCUUGGAUGAAUAGAAAGGAGCACAAUUAAGGGAAAACACAAGCUUGGGAGUCAAGGGAUUUGGGUUCUAUUCUCGUUGUCCCUUGGUGACGACAUCAUUACCUUGGGUUAUUCAAGCUUUCAGUGCCAGAGUUCCUAUAUCAAUAAAAGAUUAUUACAUUGACCUCUUAGAGAAAUGUUUUCAUGGUACUGAAUUGCAAAUAAAGUAUGUGUAGCAAUGUGUUA